UGCCUCGUAGUAUAAUGGUAGUACGCUUGGUUUUGGUCCAAGUAGUUGGGGUUCGAAUCCCUGCGAGGCAG
rnacentral:tRNA from 1 species